rnacentral:rRNA from 1 species
GACGAACGCUGGCGGCGUGCUUAACACAUGCAAGUCGAACGGAAAGGCCCUGCUUUUGUGGGGUGCUCGAGUGGCGAACGGGUGAGUAACACGUGAGUAACCUGCCCUUGACUUUGGGAUAACUUCAGGAAACUGGGGCUAAUACCGGAUAGGAGCUCCUGCUGCAUGGUGGGGGUUGGAAAGUUUCGGCGGUUGGGGAUGGACUCGCGGCUUAUCAGCUUGUUGGUGGGGUAGUGGCUUACCAAGGCUUUGACGGGUAGCCGGCCUGAGAGGGUGACCGGUCACAUUGGGACUGAGAUACGGCCCAGACUCCUACGGGAGGCAGCAGUGGGGAAUAUUGCACAAUGGGCGGAAGCCUGAUGCAGCAACGCCGCGUGCGGGAUGGCGGCCUUCGGGUUGUAAACCGCUUUCGCCUGUGACGAAGCGUGAGUGACGGUAAUGGGUAAAGAAGCACCGGCUAACUACGUG